ACGGACAGACGCGGCUCAUUCGCCCGGCGGCGGGAGAUGCUCGCCGGCGGCAUCCCGGUACCGCGCUGCCGCCCCGCCGCCGCCACCGCCAGGUAGAGAGAUGCCUGGGUAUUGGAAGCUCUCUGCAGCAUGCUGAGGAGACGAAACCUUCUUACUACGCUCCUGAUUGUCUUGCCAUGGGCUCUUCUCCUAACCUUGUGGCACCAGUACCCAACCACCCGCUACCUCAGCCUGCUGAGAAAAGACACAGAUGAGAACGUGACCUCUAAAGCUCUCCUCAAUGGCACGUCUGCACUGAGAGAAGAAGGCUUCCCGUCAUGCAUUCGCCAGCAGCAGAGCAUAGGGGCGACACCUAAAGUCAUCCAGAAUUAUGUGUACUCCAGGCCUCCCCCAUGGUCAGACACCCUGCCGACUAUAUUCGUUAUCACCCCUACCUACACACGGCCAGUGCAAAAAGCUGAGCUGACCCGGCUGGCCAACACCUUCCUGCAUGUACAGAACCUGCACUGGGUGGUGGUGGAGGACUCACCCCGAAGGACCAACCUAGUGUCCAAUCUGCUGGAGAAGGCAGGCCUCAAUUUCACCCACCUCAAUGUGGAGACACCCAAGAGCCUGAAGCUGGGGCUGUCCUGGAUCCCAUCCCACACCCCACGGGGGACACUGCAGAGGAACCUGGGGCUUCACUGGCUGAGGGACAGCUUCAGCAACACAGCACCACCAGAAGGGGUAGUGUAUUUUGCUGAUGAUGAUAACACUUACAGCCUGGAGCUGUUUGAAGAGAUGCGCUACACAAGGAGGGUGUCAGUCUGGCCGGUGGCGUUUGUUGGGGGGCUGCGGUAUGAAUCCCCAAAAUUGAGCCCAGCUGGGAAGGUGGUGGGAUGGAAAACCGUCUUUGACCCUAAUCGGCCCUUUGCUAUUGACAUGGCUGGAUUUGCUAUCAGCAUCAAGCUGAUCUUGGAGAAGCCUCAAGCCAGUUUCAAGCUGGAGGGAGUUAAAGGAGGCUACCAGGAAACCAGUCUGCUGAAGGAUUUAGUGACUAUGGAUGGGCUGGAGCCCAAAGCAGCCAACUGCACAAAGGUGUUGGUCUGGCACACAAGAACUGAGAGGCCAACUCUGGUUAACGAAGGCAAGCGUGGAUUUACAGACCCCAGGGUGGAGGUGUAAGCAGAGAGACAGCUCCCCAGUAGUUCUGAUUUUUCCACCCUGAGAGCCAUUAGGGCUGAUCUUGGAUGUGUUGGGAUUGAGGAUCUUGGGUGAGAUCUAAAACCUUUCCCAGUCUACGUCUUUGAAAACUCGUUUGAAACCACACUCCCUAGAAAAACAGACUGUGGCUCCUGAGAGCAGAGAGGCAGCGGGCAGUGAUUGUUCUGAAGCUUGCUGGCAGCCACAGCAACUGUGCACCCUGUCUGUUCUACCACUGGAGGAUGCUAAAUGCCCCCGAAUGUAGCCACAUCGAUCAGCUCCUGCUCCCCAGAAGGUGGCAAUGAGCAGGGACAGAGUGGAUGCAUUCCCUGUGAUCCUACAGCUCUCCACUUUGACUCCAUACACUGGCUGAGAGGUGUGCCUCCCUUCCCUUGUGGGCACUGUGCUUUUAACUAUUCAUGAAACAGGAAACGUUUUAGAUAUGAUCUCCAUUCCCUGCUGUGCCAGCACAGAGGCUGAAAUCCACCACGGGUGCGGGUGCCUCUGAAGAUCCCUCUUGGCAUACUGUGAAACCUGAACUUUGGGACAGCAGCUGUGAGCUGCUGUGGUUCAAGGACAGGAGUUGUUGCAAAAGCACAGAUGUGGAUCUGUUAGUCUGAGGUAUGCUCUCAGUGAGAAUAGCUUAAAAGCAAAGCUAGCCUGAGAGAGGCUCCCCCUCAGAUACACGCAUGGAUCAGCUUUUGGUACUGGGGAAACAGCUGUGCUGGAAGCCCUCAUUUUGGGUUUAGGAGUUCAGAAGUGCCUCAGCUGAGAACUCGAACUGCCCUGACUGCAGGUUGUGUUGGAAAAUGCUGUCCCAGUUCCCAGGCCCAGUGCCUUCUGGAUGAAGUUUGUCUCCUGCUCAGGGUGACCUGGCAGGUACUGCACCUCAGAGGCCAUCCCUCCAUGUCCCAGUAUGGAGAGUGUCAAGCAGGGGCAGAGAUGAGUGGACCUGAAAAUGUUGUUCCUUCUGCAGUACCAUUAGGCACUUUAGUAGCCUCAAUUCAUGAAUACAGAUUUGUUCUCUAAACCUCCAGGGAGAAAGACACCUUUCUGGAGUGGAGGUGGGUGAGAAGUGCUUAGGAAAAGAACGCUGAGCUUGCAGUCGUCUCCUGUGUGAACAUCGAGAAACGUCGAAAAGGGAUCAUCAUUGGGAAACGUAUCUUGAGCACACAGAUGUAAUCAUUUGCAAUUUCACUUGUCAAGUUUCCAGUUGAAUUCUGAUAGCACGUUUGGCCCUGUGAAGAGGGAGAAAAGACAGCGUUAUCUAGAACGGUUUUCCUUUCCUUUGAUAAAACAUAAGGCAGCCUAUGGACCAGUAGGUGGCAAAUGAGGACCAAAGGAAGAAUGCACUGGGUUAAAAGCACAAGUGUUUGUACCAUGUGUGCAUGGGGAGAAAUGUCUCUCUGACUUUUUGCAGGAAGAUUUCCUGACUGACCCGAAAACCUCUCUGAGCACACCUUGCCAACCAUCUUCACUCAGGCUGUGAGGAACAAGGCUUCAAGCAUUCAAAAAUGCAUCAAGGAUUUGAUAGCCUGAGAAAAAUCAUGAGCAAUCAAGCCACCCCCUGCCCAAGAAACUCUGGGCUGGCAGGAUAUGUUUAUUUGUUGAUUUAUUUAUACUGCAAUCUUUUCUGCCCGUUCUUUGCUUCACUUUGUUUUUUAACUUAGGUCAUCUGACAUACUCAUGAGGAAAGAACAAUUCCCCUCUCACCCCAGACGCUCACAGAAUAACAGAGCUUGGCAUUCACUUCUGAAUGUCUUUAUGCUUCUUGCUGUCUGGGGUUUCUUUACAAUGGCAUCCUAAGCUAGCAAAAUAAUCAAAAACACAGCAAGGAGGGAAGUACAGCAAAAGGAACUGUUAUUCCUUUAUGCAAAAGACGUGGGUGGCACUAAGUUUCUGGCUCCUGAGCAAUCAUGGUGAGGUAAAAACAUGUGCGAAGGAGUGCCUCAAUCAAGUAGAUAGUCCCCAUGGGAUGUUGGGAGGCAUUCGUGAAGGGGGCUCUUGGAAGGAUAUCUGAUUGUUGAUCUGUGUUCCCUUAGUGUGGAACUAGCAUGCAGACAUCCUGCUGUGGGAGUGAGAUUAGAGUGCAUGAGGGGGCAAAGGGAGUGAGAUGUCUCCCACUGGGGAGGAAGGCAUGAGGAAACAAGGAGGAGGCUGAGAGCAGAGAGAGGGUGGUUGUGCUCAGUGUGGCCUGGCCUCCCUGCAAACUGUCUCAGCACUGAAGUAGUACUGAAUGGGCCAUAAAAACUGUGCCUUCUUGUGACCCCAGAAAGGUCUUUACACAGCAAGUGUAAAGUCUGGCAUAUAUGUGACCUGGGUAGCAUGGAGGAAGCCUGGCUCCUGACAAGCACUUUUCAUUCUCUGUUUGUCAGAGCUUCGUGCCCUGGCCUCUUUGCAUGAGGUAAUGGGCCUUGUGCUCCAGUGGGUGUUGCUGACCCAUCCCUGCCACUGAGCGGAAAGACUGGCUUAAUGAUCCCACUCACCAUUAAUAGAAGACUGUCCCCUUCUUUGUGGUUUUAAUCCGUGAGCAAAGAGCAAGAGAAUAAAGGAGUCUAUUUAUGAUCUUCCAUUUUCCCCUCCCAGAUGGGUAGGGAUUCUACCCGUAUGAAAAGGAGGGGAUAUGGUAAUUAAUUCCCUGGCCUUCAGUAUCAAGGAUAUCCUACUUGGGAUUUUGAUGCUGCAGGUGGAUGUUUGUAGCGAGGGUAUGCUCUCAUUGCAAAGGAUGUGCAUAUAUGCUUUUAGAGAUGAUGUCUCUCUAUAUAAAAGCAAAAUAAUUGUUCCUAUUUUUCCCCCUGGGGCCCCGGAUUGCAGUGAUAGGAGCACACUGUCGCUCAGUGCUCUGAGCUGCUCACAAGAUCAGCCCUGUCACACACCAGUCUCACAGCAGCCUGACCCUAUGGAGGAGGGAUUCUGUGAAUCAGGAAAUUCUGCCAGAUGCUAAAUUGUAUAGGACUGAGACCUUGUAUGGACUGUGUGGUGCACGCAGCUGUUGUUUCAGGCUAACAGAUGUUCUGAACACUCCAGCACAAAUACUCUUUUUACAAAUACCCUGUAGAGCAGACUAAAGACAGUGAGGACUGCUGCCAGGCAGGGUGCAGCAGCAAAGGGUAGGUGAGGACAGACAGCACAAAUUCAGAGGGCUUUUUGCUAGCAGAGCUCAGCAGAAGUUACAAGCUUUGAGGAAAGUGAACAAGGGAUACAAUAAAGGAGGGAUGCUGCACAUCAAGCCUGAAAUGUUUAAAGAGAAGGCAUCCCAGUACCUGUUUUUUUUACUAGCGUAUUAGUAUCUGAUAUUCAUGUUCUCUGACAUCCAUCCAAUUCACCAACCAAUAAAUAUUCCUAACAUUUCCUGUUGUAGAAAAUACUAUUGAAAGAGGAAGGAGAAUGUCAAGGAAGUAAUUUUUAAUGGUUAUUUAUUUAUAUUGAAUGGUACAAGAGCGUUAUUAAAUAUGAUGUGAAUAUUGCACCA